GUGGUCAGCAGACCAGUCCAGCCCGUUGGGGAUGCCAAGCCGGUCGGCCAGGCACAGCACCGAGUGGUUCCCCUGCAUCUGCAAGUCUGUCGCUACUGAGCCCUGGUGUACUGAAUGCAGUACUAAGCCUUGGGGAACUGAGCCCUGGUAUCCUGAACCUUGAGGUACUGAGUCCUGCGGUACUGAGCCUUGGGGUACUGAGCCCUGGUCUAGUGAGCCUUGGGGUACUGAGCCCUGGUCUGUGCUGGAGGGCGGUGCUGUUCCUCUGCCUAUUGCAACCCCAGGAACUUCUUGGCAGCCUCAGCCAGGACAGCACAGGCCCCCCCUCCUGGCCAGGAGACCCCUGUGAGCAGCAGGAGAUGCAUGUAUACAACAGAAGACCACUGUAUGCAGCAGGAGUGCUCCAUAUACAGCAGGACUCCCAUGUAUACCUCAGGAGAUGAAUAUGGGCUCAACCUGCACCCCAGCAUUUCCUCAGCAGUUGCUGCAGGUGACUCUGUCAAUCUGUGGCUGUCCUGGGUCCUCUGCAGCUGUCCUGUGUCUUAGCAGGUGGCCAUGAUCUUCUGCAGGUGUCCUGUGCUGUCAAAAGUUGACCAUGGUGCUCAGGAGCAGGUACUGUGUGCUGUCACCAGGUAGCUGUGAAUUUCAGGAGAAGGCCCUGUUCCUUAAGAUGUGUCCUGUGAAAGUGUCCUGCCACUUUGAAGAUGUCUUUUUGCUGUACAUGUUCUGUGCCCUCAGCAGGUACUACUGCCCUUCAACAGGUACCCUUACUCUUUUGCAGAUGUCUUGUGACUUUUGUAGGUAUCCCGUGCCCUUAACAGGUGACCCUGCCCUUUUCAGGUGACUCUGAUACUUAACAGGCAUCCUUUGCCCUGGGCAGUUGGUCCUGUGCCAUCAACAUUUGUUCCUGCCUGUCUACACGUGUUAUAGGACCUCUGUGUCCUGGGCCUUCAACAGGUUGCCCUACUCUUCUGAAGAUAACCUGUGUCUUCUGCAUGUGACUCUCAUCUUAAGCAGGUGGCCCUUGUCCUUAAUAGCUGUUCUGUGGCCUCAACAGUUGACCGUGCCCAUUUGCAGGUGUUUUGGGUCUUCAGAAUGUCUUCUGUUACUUCAGCAGGUGUCCAGACCCCACAGUAGGUGGCCCUGGUCUUUAACAACUGCUCUGUGCCUUCACCAGUUCAUUAUGACAUUUUGCAGCUGUCCUGGGUCCUGUGCAGGUAUCCCAUUCUCUCAACAGGCAGCCCUUCCCUCUGAAGAUGUUCUGUGCCCUCACUAGGAAACCUUACCCCUCUGAAUGUGUUCUCUGUCCUCUGCAGUUUAGGACCUAACAUAAUCCGAACCCUAACCCUACCCUAACUCCUACCUCUACCCCUAAAUCUGAUGAGUGUUUGUCCCUGAGGGCACUGUAGAAUACAAGGGGUAAAAACUGUAAGGACAAGGCCAGUUCAGGCACCCUUUCCUCUGCUGUCCAAGAAACAAGCUGGGGACCUCUCCUUGGACCUG